rnacentral:rRNA from 1 species
GACGGAGGAUGCAAGCGUUAUCCGGAAUGAUUGGGCGUAAAGCGUCCGCAGGUGGCAGUUCAAGUCUGCUGUCAAAGACCGGGGCUCACCCUCGGAAAGGCAGUGGAAACUGAACAGCUAGAGUAUGGUAGGGGAGAUUGGAAUUCCUGGUGUAGCGGUGGAAUGCGCAGAUAUCAGGAGGAACACCGAUGGCGAAGGCAGAUCUCUGGGCCGUAACUGACGCUGAGGAGCGAAAGCAUGGGGAGCGAACAGG